UCCCCUACGGGACGCAGCAGUGAGGAAUAUUGGUCAAUGGGCGGGAGCCUGAACCAGCCAAGUCGCGUGAGGGAAGACGGUCCUAUGGAUUGUAAACCUCUUUAGGCGGGGAGCAAUGCCGGGCACGCGUGCCCGGAGGGAGAGUACCCGCAGAAUAAGCAUCGGCUAACUCCGUGCCAGCAGCCGCGGUAAUACGUAGGGGGCGAGCGUUACCCGGAUUUACUGGGUGUAAAGGGAGCGUAGACGGCUGGUCAAGUCUGAAGUGAAAGCCCGGGGCUUAACCCCGGAACGGCUUUGGAAACUGG
rnacentral:rRNA from 1 species